UCCUCAUGUCCCAUGAAUUGGCAUUGCAGUUCAACCUUUUUGGCCGACAUGGGAAACACAAGUUCCGGGACCUGCGUCUCUUUGAUGUUGUCCAUGGAGCACUUAAAAGAAAUGGAUCCAUCCACGGAAUCACCCACAAAGAUACAGAAAAGGCACUAUCAAAGUGGUUUACUGGAGCCCGUGACAGAGGUGGAAAUCGAAAGGUUCGAGCGACUAAGGAGGCUGCCAGUUCACAUUCAGG